GACGAACGCUGGCGGCGCGCUUAACACAUGCAAGUCGAGCGAAGCGGCGGACGCGUGAGUAACACGUGAGUAAACUGCCUUAGCCAUUGGGAUAGCCUCGGGAAACCGGGGUUAAUACCGAAUAGUCUAAGAUGGACUCGCAUCCACUUCGCUAGUUGGUGGGUAACGGACCACCAAGGCGACGAUGGGUAGCCGGCCUGAGAUGGUGAACGGCCACAUUGGAACUGAGAAACGGGCCAAACUCUACGUGAGGCAGCAGUGGUGAAUAUUGCACAAUGGAGGGAACUCUGAUGCAGCGACGCCGCGUGAACGAAGAAGGCUGUCGAGUCGUAAAGUUCUUUUAUAUGGGAAGCGGUACCAUAAGAAAAAGCCCCGGCUAACGACGUGCCAGCCGCCGCGGUAAUUC
rnacentral:rRNA from 1 species